AUCUAGAUAGUUUAAUUAAAAUAUUGAUUUGUGGAGUCAAAGUUAUAUUUUUAUAUUUUAGAUA
rnacentral:tRNA from 1 species